rnacentral:lncRNA from 1 species
AAGUGAGAAUGAGUAGUCGGUCACACCUAAAUAUUCAAUGGGCCGCAAUGUUGCCUACGAUCCACAGGUUGGACAUCCUUGCCAUAGAUUAUCAAAUUUCUUAUUUGUUAAAUAAUCAUUUUACUCACAAUCAUUUUAUCUGACAAUGUAAAUUAAGUUAAAAUGACCACGAAUUUGAAAUUUUAUAGAUUACCCUAGCAUAAUGCACAUUGUCAUUAUUAUUUAAUUCCCAAGUAGUGAACAUCCUUUUUUAAAUAUAUUCAAAACUUGAUGGAACGUUCGUGUGAGCUCAUAAAAGUGGACCCUGAGGAUUUGUUGCAGAGUUAUAAUUAUUAACACCUUCGAUCAUGGACAUCUCAAGCUAUCCAUCUGACGAAUACGAGAUGAUACCAGACGAAGGCUAGAUGCAAGGUCAAUAGAAAUAUUUCUAUUAACCUUGGCUAGAUGAAGACGAAACUGAAAAUAGCUGACAAAGCUCCGAACAACUACAAUUUUUCUUUUAUGUCCUGGGGUAGAAGAUGUCUUUGACGUGAUGUAGAAUUUGGUUCUUUUUUUGUACAUGAAUCAUGAUUCCUGACAAGUACAUAUUCCUCUUUAUUUGAAGAAUAUACUACUUAGACACAA